UUAUUACUCCCUCUGUCCCAAAAUACUUGUCGGAGAAAUGAAUAAAAAUAGAUGUAUGUAAAACUAAAAUAUAUCUACAUACAUCCAUUUCUCCGACAAGUAUUUCCGGACGGAUGGAGUAAUUU
rfam:Triticum aestivum genome assembly, contig: Triticum_aestivum_CS42_TGACv1_scaffold_288666_4AL